rnacentral:rRNA from 1 species
UUGCUUCUCCGGAUGAGUUGCGAACGGGUGAGUAACGCGUAGGUAACCUGCCUGGUAGCGGGGGAUAACUAUUGGAAACGAUAGCUAAUACCGCAUAACAGUAGAUAUUGCAUGAUAUCUGCUUGAAAGGUGCAAUUGCAUCACUACCAGAUGGACCUGCGUUGUAUUAGCUAGUUGGUGAGGUAACGGCUCACCAAGGCGACGAUACAUAGCCGACCUGAGAGGGUGAUCGGCCACACUGGGACUGAGACACGGCCCAGACUCCUACGGGAGGCAGCAGUAGGGAAUCUUCGGCAAUGGACGGAAGUCUGACCGAGCAACGCCGCGUGAGUGAAGAAGGUUUUCGGAUCGUAAAGCUCUGUUGUAAGAGAAGAACGAGUGUGAGAGUGGAAAGUUCACACUGUGACGGUAUCUUAUCAGAAAGGGACGGCUAACUACGUGCCAGCAGCCGCGGUAAUACGUAGGUCCCGAGCGUUGUCCGGAUUUAUUGGGCGUAAAGCGAGCGCAGGCGGUUAGAUAAGUCUGAAGUUAAAGGCUGUGGCUUAACCAUAGUACGCUUUGGAAACUGUUUAACUUGAGUGCAAGAGGGGAGAGUGGAAUUCCAUGUGUAGCGGUGAAAUGCGUAGAUAUAUGGAGGAACACCGGUGGCGAAAGCGGCUCUCUGG